GAACGCUAGCGGCAGGCUUAACACAUGCAAGUCGAGGGGCAGCAUGAUUGAACUUUCGGGUUCGGUUGAUGGCGACCGGCGCAAGGGUGCGUAACGCGUGAGCAACUUGCCCGUUUCAGGGGGAUAACCGGUGGAAACGCCGACUAAUACCCCAUGGCAUCAUAUUGAGGCAUCUUUAUAUGAUUAAAGAAUUUCGGAAACGGAUAGGCUCGCGUGACAUUAGCUAGAUGGCGGGGUAACGGCCCACCAUGGCGACGAUGUCUAGGGGUUCUGAGAGGAAGGUCCCCCACACUGGAACUGAGACACGGUCCAGACUCCUACGGGAGGCAGCAGUGAGGAAUAUUGGUCAAUGGCCGGGAGGCUGAACCAGCCAUGCCGCGUGAAGGUCACGGCCCUAUGGGUCUUAAACUUCUUUUGUAAGGGAGCAAUAAGGUUCACGUGUGGACUGAUGAGAGUACCUUACGAAUAAGCAUCGGCUAACUCCGUG
rnacentral:rRNA from 1 species